rnacentral:rRNA from 1 species
CCUACGGGAGGCAGCAGUGGGGAAUAUUGGGCAAUGGGCGCAAGCCUGACCCAGCGACGCCGCGUGCGGGAGGACGCUUUUCGGAGUGUAAACCGCUGUCAGGAGGGACGAACGGCCGGGGUGGGAAUACUGCUCCGGAUUGACGGUACCUCCAAAGGAAGCGCCGGCUAACUCCGUGCCAGCAGCCGCGGUAAGACGGAGGGCGCAAGCGUUGUUCGGAAUCACUGGGCGUAAAGCGCGCGCAGGCGGGUGUGCAAGUCGGAAGUGAAAUCCCGGGGCUCAACUCCGGGGCUGCUCCCGAAACUGCUCACCUGGAGACCGGUAGAGGUGGGUAGAAUUCCCGGUGUAGCGGUGGAAUGCGUAGAGAUCGGGAAGAAUACCUGUGGCGAAGGCGGCCCACUGGGCCGGUUCUGACGCUGAGGCGCGAAAGCGUGGGGAGC